rnacentral:lncRNA from 1 species
AGCGCUUCCAAAUCUUCUCAUUUAUUGCUUCUAGCAUUUCCAGCCUGAUAUUUCUUUCUAAUGACUGGAAGUACUGGUAGAGGUAUCCACAUAAGCCACUCUCCAAUAACUGUGUGCCCCUCAUCUCAGGCAAACACCAUAAAUCUGGCCAUAAGCUCCCUGUUCCACAAUGGUCUAGGCUUCAAACUACCAGUGCAGAUAUUUUCCCAUCAGAAUAGUCGCACCACAUCAAUAUACUCCUAAAAACAUCCUUCUCAAUGAAGAUAUCUCUCUUAGUGAUCUUGUAGCAACUCUUUCCUCACUUCGAUUCACAACGAUCAUCUUUAUGCACUCUUUUGCUACCAAGUGUUUGAUCGCGAGUUCCCCCAUUUUUGCCCGCUCCCAUCACCAACAUUCUGGCAGUAGCAUGUGAGGAUUCAAGAAGUUUCAUGAGGGCCAGUUCCACACCAGCGGAGCUUACAGAAACUUUACCAGCUGCAGUGUUUGCUUCAGCUCUAACUAAUUCCUUUCCAACAGUGAUUGCAUGCUUGAACAGCCCACUAAUGACCCCCCCCCCCCCCCCCGUGGCCGCGUAGUUUUGAUGGUUUUAGUUGGAUGCCUUCCGUUUCGAAUUUGAGGCGUCUGAUGCGUCAAAAGGGAUACAUUAAAGCCGCCGUGCAAACGCGCCAAAUUAGAAGCCUGAAGACAUCCAAGGGCCUCCAGCGUUUAAGAGGGAGCCGAUUUUCGAUGAGGAAGGAGCUUCUCGCCUCGUGCCGAAUUCCUGCAGCCCGGGGGAUCCACUAGUUCUAGAGCGGCCGCCACCGCGGUGGAGCUCCAGCUUUUGUUCCCUUUAGUGAGGGUUAAUNNNNNNNNNNNNNNNNNNNNNNNNNNNNNNNNNNNNNNNNNNNNNNNNNNNNNNNNNNNNNNNNNNNNNNNNNNNNNNNNNNNNNNNNNNNNNNNNNNNNAUUUUUUUUUGGGGGUUUUGGGGGAAUUUUUUUCUCCUUUUGGUUUCAAAGGGUUUUUUUUUUGGCCUUUUUUUGUUCCAAGGGUUUGGGUGGGGGUUCCCCCCUUUUUGCCCGGCUCCCUUCCCAAAUUUUUGGGGGGGGGGUGGGGGGGUUUAAGGAGUUUUCGGGGGGGCCUUUCCCCCCCGGGGGGGGUUUAAGAAAUUUUUCCGGGGGGGGGGUUUGGUUUGGGUUUAAAUAAUUUUUUUUCCAAGGGGGUUGGGGGGUUGGACCGCCCCCUUAGGGCCCCCCCCCCCCCCCCCCCCCCCAAAGCCAAAAAAUGCAUCAUCAAUGCACAAGACCAAAAACGGUCACCAAAAAAACUAAGAGAAAGGAGCAGAAAUGGCAACAGUGAGGAAAACAGAGAAAAACGAGGAGAGAAGAAGAAUAGAAACCAUGUGAAGCCACAUCUCAUGCUCUUUCAAUGGGCUUGGGNNNNNNNNNNNNNNNNNNNNNNNNNNNNNNNNNNNNNNNNNNNNNNNNNNNNNNNNNNNNNNNNNNNNNNNNNNNNNNNNNNNNNNNNNNNNNNNNNNNNCCCCCUUUUUUGGGGAAACCCCAAAAAAUUGGGCCAAUAACCCCCUUUUCCCAAAUGGUUUUGGGUUUAAAAACCCCCGGGGUAUUUUUUUUCCCUGAAAUUUUCCCCCCCCCCCAAAAAUUUUUAAAAAAACCUUUUUUAAAAAAAAAAUUUUUUUUUUGGUUUUUUGGGAAAAAUUUUUUCCCCCUUUGUUUUAAAAAAUUUUUUUUUUUCCCUUUUUUUUUUUUAAAAGUUUUUUACGGGGGUUUCCCCUUUUUUUCCCCCCCCCCCCCCCCAAUUUUUGGGGGUUUCGUUGGGGGGUUUAAAAAAUUUUUUGGGGGGCCUUUCCCCCCCCGGGGGGGUUUAAAAAAAUUUUCCCCGGGGGGGUUUUUUUUUCAUUUUAAAAAAAUUUUUUUCCAAAGGGUUUUGCUUUUUGAAAACCCCCCAAAAGCCCCCCCCCCCCCCCCCCCCCCCCCAAAGCCAAAAAAUGCAUCAUCAAUGCACAAGACCAAAAACGGUCACCAAAAAAACUAAGAGAAAGGAGCAGAAAUGGCAACAGUGAGGAAAACAGAGAAAAACGAGGAGAGAAGAAGAAUAGAAACCAUGUGAAGCCACAUCUCAUGCUCUUUCAAUGGGCUUGGGAAUCAUGUGAAACAACCAGAAUAUACUCCACGGAAAUGAAAAUAGUGACAAGAUUUCCAGGUGAUACACAGUAAAGUUAAAACAGAACUGAUGUUCUUAAACCAAAUCAUAGAAAUGAGAAUAGAAUCAGCAACAAUAAUCCCAUAAACAAAUCAGAAAUAAUAAAACUAAGCACACGGUCUAACAUCUAUACACAAAUCUACAAAUAAUCCGCAGGAAAUAGCAAGAAAAGAGAAAGAAACCAUGCGAUAAAGAAGAACAGUGAAACAUGACAGCCACACUUGAAGAUGUUCUUGUAGGGAUUACCUAAACUACUUAUAGGAAUACCUAAACAUUAGAUUUCAUGUUAUAACCUAUUCAAGAUCUCAUAUUAAUAGCCCAACUACAACAAGAUCAAGUUAUAACCCAAAAUCAAGAUCACGUGUUUCAACCCAAAAUCAAUAUCAUGUUAAAUCAUCAAAAAUAAAUAAAUUGGAAGCGUUCUUGGAUCCAUUGUGAUGUAGUGGAAUGGGGUUUUAGUCUUUCAUGUCUAAACCUUUCUUCUCCAAAGAGAAAAAAAAACCCUAUUUCACUCAACGAUGGGAUAUGAGUGGAAUCUCUAAUCUGUUUAGACUGGGACCUUAACUUAUUUAUAUUAUUUUAUUUCAUUUCAUUUUUGCCUUAUCAUAAAAAAUAAAAUAAAAUCAAGUGGUCUUUACACAUUAAAACACUUAAUGAGAUGCUCAAGCCCAAUAAAUAAAUAAAAACUUAUUUGAUCACUUUAAUGAACUAAUAAAAAAAGAAAGUUAAUAAUUUACAAUUAAUCAAGACAUGUGGACCCACUUUAAUAAUUUCCCAACAAUCUCCACUUGGGCCACAUAUAUCACUUUACAAUUGUACAUUAUUAUACAACUUUAUGAGCUCAAUAUUUGCUAUCUUUACAAAGUAACAUCUCUAAACAAUCUAGUCCAUCCAUUAUACCAAUAUAGGAUCAUAACAAUCUCCAUUACAUAUUUCAUAACUAGACCAAUCAAUGGUCACAUAUAUCAAUAUAAUCAACAACAUGGAUCAAGUGUGGAUUCAUAGCAUGGAAAUUUCAUGCAAUAUGAUCCCUUAACAUGCCUAUUUCCAAAUGAUCCAACUUUAUAGCUCAAAAGAGUUAAACAACACACUUUCAAACUUUAUACGAAGGUGCAAUUGAAAGAAUAUAACUUUAUUUCAAUGUUUUCAAUAAAGAAAGAACAAUACUUAAGUUUGAUAAAAAAAAACAUGUCAAUAAGAAAUGAACAUCAACUAACAAACUCUCACUAUACUAUCAUAUCACUAAGAUCACUAAGAUCAAUAAGAUGAACCACCCCUAUACGAGCUACAUGCUCAUGAAACACUUUAGGAGGUAAACCCUUAGUGAGUGGAUCCACAAUCAUGAAGUUUGUACUAAUAUGUUCAAUGGACACUAGAAGACUCUGAAUUCUUUCCUUAAUAACUAGAAACCUUAAGUCAACAUGCUUCAAUUUUGACGAGCUUCUAUUGUUCUUAGAAUACAAUUCUAUAACUUUGUUAUCACACUUUAUCCUCAAUGGUCUCUUAAUCUCAUCAACAAUACACAGUUCAAUGAUAAAAUUUUGCAACCAUAUUCUUUCAUUCGAUGCCUCAUGACAAGCUAUAGAUUAUGUUUUCAUGAUGGAAGUAGCUAUGAUUGAUUACUUAACAUUCUUCCAUAACACAAUUCCUCUAGUCAUCAUGAAAACAUAUCUAGAAGUGGAUCUUCUGCUAUCGAGGCAACUGGCAAAGUCAAAGUCGAAAUACCCCAUGAUCUCUAAAUGAUCAAAUAUUCGAUAUGUGAGCAUGAAAUAUUUUGUUCUCUGUAGAUAUUGCAAAACCCUUUUAACUGCUCUCUAAUGAUCCAUUUCUAGGUUACUUAAAUAUCUACCAAGCUACCAACUAUGUACGCAAUAUCCGAACACAUCCAAACUUGAGCAUACAUAAGACUCCCUACUACUAAAGCAUAAGAAAUCUUCACCAUCUCUUUCUUCUCAAUUUCAUUCCUUGGGCAUUGAAGGAAAUUGAAUUUAUGACCCUUAGCAAUGGGCGUAUCUCCUGGCACACCAUCCUUCAUGCCAAAUCUACUUAACACUUUAUCAAUAUAUGCCUUCUAUGAUAAGUCAAGAAUACCACAAGAACGAUCUCGAUGAAUCUGUAUACCCAACACAAAAUAUGCAUUACCAAGAUCUUUCAUUUCAAAAUUGUUUGAAAGAAAUCUCUUAGUUUCAUGCAACAAGCCUAUAUCGUUGUUUUCUAAUAGAACAUCAUUGACAUAUAACACUAGAAGAAUAAAUUUGCUUCCAUUAAUCUUGUGAUAAAUACAUUGAUCAACAGUUUUUUCCUUAAAACCAAAAAAGAUAAUCACUUUAUCAAACUUCUAAUACCAUUGACAGGAUGCUCGCUUUAAACCAUUGAUGGACUUCUUUAAUUUGCACACCAGAUGUUUUGAAUCAUUAGAUUCAAAGUUCUUUGGUUGCAUCAUGUAUAUCGUUUCUUCAAUGUCACCAUUGAAAAAUGCAGUCUUAACAUCCAUUGGAUGUAACUCUAAAUCAUAAUGAGCUACAAAUUUCAUAAUGAUUCUAAAAGAGUUUUUCAUUGAAAUUGGAGAGAAAAUCUCUUUAUAAUCAAUGUCUUCCCUUUGUGUGAAACCUUGGUGACUAGACACGCUUUAUAUCUUUCAAUAUUACCUUUCGAAUCCCAUUUGGUUUUAAAAAUCCAUUUACAACAAAUUUGUUUCACUCCCUUAAGCAAUUUGACAAGAUCCCAAACGUCAAUCUUCCAUUGAUUUCAUCUCAUCUUUCAUGGCAUCUAUCCAUUUUUGGGAGAUUAUUUGAAUUGAGUAAAAGAUACUGGAUCAUAUUCCAAUCCUAUAUCAAAAUCACAUUCUUGGAGAUACACAAUAUAAUCACCUAAAAUCGUUGAUCUCCUCUCUCAAGUGGAUCUCCUUAAUGACACCUCCAAUUGAGGUUGUUGUUGCCCAUUUACAUGAGUAGGAGUGGGUUCUUCAAUAUGAGUAUGAGAUAUCUCAAGAGUGUCUUGAUUAUCCAUAUUUGCAUCUUGCAUAAUGACAUGUGCAAUUACCGUUGUAGUAGAAGGAAUGGGGACAUAUUCCUCCUCAAACACAAUGUUCAUGAGUUUAACACUCCUACUAUAUUCAACAUCCUCAAUAAAUUUUGCAUUCCCUAACUCAGAAAAUGAUAUGCUCAAAGGAUCAUAAAACUUGAAACCUCUCGAUCUUUCUGAGUAUUCAAUAAAAUAGUAGUUUACUAUUCUUGAGUCCAAUUUCCUUUCAUUAUGCUUGUAUGGCCUAGCCUCAGCUAGACAAGCCCAAACAUGAAGAAGCCUAAUGCUAGGCUUCUUUCUAAUCCAUAGCUCAUAUGGGGUUUUAGAAAAUACUUUACUGGAUUAAGAUAUAUAUUGUAGUGUUUAAGGCUUCUCCUUAAAGCGAUUCUGAUAGAGAAUAAUGACUUAUCAUACUUCUAACCAUGUCCUUUAGGGUCUGGUUUCAUCUCUCAACUACACCAUUUUGACUUGAAGUCUAUUGAAGAAAAAUGCCACAUUCCUUCAAAUACCUCACAAAAGGCCAUGGACGUUGUUCACCUGAUCCAUCAUAUCUACCAUAGUACUCACCACCACUAUCAUAUUUAACGACUUUAAUUUUCUUUUCAAACUGAUUUUCAACUUCAGCUUUAUAGGAUUUAAAAAGGUCUAAUGGUUGAGACUUCUCAUAAAUCAAGUAUAGGUGCCCAUAACAAGAACAAUCGUCUAUGAAAAUAAUAAAAUACUAUUGACCAUUCCAAGAAGCCAUAGGGAAUGAACCACAAAUAUUAGUAUGAAUUAAUUAUAAGACAUUUGAACUCCUGUUAACACCAAUUUUUCUAACAUCUGUUAGUUUUCCCUUAAUGCAUUUGAUUCGUCUCCAGCAACGGUGCCAUUUGAUUUGUGCGCCAGACGGGUAUUAUCAACAAAAUUUAUAAAACCUAAAUCACCUUACACUAGGGUAGCAUGGCUACUAUAGUAUAAUGGCUCUAGGAUAGUCCACAGGGAUGGGUUUUCUUCGUACAAGUGACUUUAGUGAAGGUAAUGAAAUGGUGUUUUUCCUUAUGAAAAUUAGCUUUUAAAGAAAAUGGAAUUGUGGUUGAAAAAGUUGAUUUUAAUUUAAGCAAAAAUAGCAAUUGAAGUUAACUACAAAGAGAAUGUCUCUUGGAGCUUUAGGUCACUAGGAUCGGGUUCCUUAGGCAAAGGGGGAGAUUCCGGAUCUUCUCCUCGCAUUGGAGACAAUAACAUAAAGGAUGGUUAUCUCCCGAACCGGUUUUAUAUUUAGCAAUUAAGAUUUGAUCCAAAGAGCUCAUGAAAAAUGGUAGUUGCUUCCCAUUAAUGACUUCAAACACUAAAGACCCUCAACUUGAACCACCUUCCAAUGGCUCGUACUUGAUAACUAAUGAACAUCCAUGGAUCUAGCAAUAAGCAUCCAUAUAAUCCGAAAAGCUUACCAAGUAUUGGCCAUUCAAGGUGAUUCUCACCUUGAACCACCUUCCAAUGGCUCGUACUUGAUAACUAAUGGACAUCCAUGGAUCUAGCAAUAAGCAUCCAUAUAAUCCGAAAAGCUUACCAAGUAUUGGCCAUUCAAGGUGAUUCUAAGGGAUUUGAAGCUAAACCUUGAAAUAAAAACCAUUAAUGGUUAACAACUACCUUCAUUUAAAGCAAGGAAAACUCCCACCUUUGCAUUUGGGUCCUUCACCUAGUUUCCAUCACUCCAAGAAACGUAAAACUUAGUCACUCAUCCCCUGAGAAAUCAUCCUCAGAGGUUGUUUGGCUAGAAAGAAAAAUGAAAACAAAAAUGAGAAGGAAAGGCAGAGCAAGGGCUUUGUAUAUUUUUUCCUACGGGAAUUACAAGUGUCGUCUCUUCCAAACGAUUAUACAAAAAGAUAUUAUAUAGAAAGGUCUUUCCAACCCCCCUUUAUAGUUUCUAACCAAGAAAUCCUAUCAUUGGUUGAUUACAAGGAGAAAAUAGUAAUUUACACAAAAAUCUGGAGAUAAAAAUCUAACGAAGUCGGUGCACAAGAAGAUUUCGCAGACCAUGCGAAAUUUCGCAUGGUGUGCGAAAUUCAUUUUUUUGUUUCAUCUUGUAGUUUUGUAGGGUGUGCGAAAUUUUCCUUCACUCAGUCUUGCAGCUGCUCCUCCUCUUGAUUUCUCAUGCUAUGCGAAAUUGCCACAUGUUGGAUUUCUUCCUUGCAUCUCUGAUUGGCUUGGCAACCUAUUGUUAAGCUUGGCAAAGGGCUAUGAAGUGCUUCAAAACUCGGAUUCUUCAUGUAUUUGAGCUUCAACUUGCAUUGCCAUGGAUUGCACAAAUUCUCCCUCAUUAUUUGCUUGUUUCAAUGAUCAAAACGCUACCAAAAACACCAAAACUAGCCAAAAACUGAUUAGUAACCCUUGCUAGGUUCCGUAAUGUGCCAAUUGAGUUAAAAAAAAGUAUUAACUACUACUCAAAAGUGUUUAAAACAGUUAAUUUCAAGCUAUAAAAGAACACUUUUUGAGUAGUAAUCAACAUUCAAUACAUGUUUCAAAAUCUAAAAAAUCAAAUGAAUUAAGAAUUCCUUCUAACACAAGCCUUUGAAUUCUUUAUUUUGAAAUGUGUCCUAACAUUUGUGCCAUAACCUGUAAGAAUUCUCAUCAAUCAAUUUGAAUUUUAUACCAUAGUUGCUUGCAUGCAAGGUUUCAAUGAUUUACGAGGCAUGAAGAUCCAAUUUAUAUAGGUUAUCAAUUAAAAAACCGAUACCAAUAAUGUUUGAAUGUUGAUAGAGACUAAAUUUUUCAUUUCCAAAUGAAAAAGAAUAACCAAAUUUGUCCAAACAAGGAAUAGAAAUCUAAUUCUGUCUAAAUGAUGGUACAUAAAAUGUCUCAUGUAAAUCCAAAUAAUAACCAAAUUCUAACUGCAAUCUAAAUAAUCUAACUGCCUCAACAAGAGUCUUAUUUCCAUAACCCACAUAGAUGAAUCUUUUAGCAUCAGUUGGCAGUCGACUUCUUAGACAACCCUACAUAGUCACACUUAUGUGAGUAGUUGUACCAUGUCUAUCUACCAAGUGUGAUUUGGCACUAAGCCCAAAUUAACUUCAAAGCAAACAAAGUUGAGAAGUUUACCAUUUUUAAUGAGCCAUUUUGUAUACUUAGCACAUGUCCACCUUUCUUGCAAAAGAAACAAACAAUGACCUUAGCUUGUUUCUAUUGCACCUUAGGCUAUGAAGUCCCAUUGUUUACAGCUCUUUUUCCUUUAUUGUUCAUUUUCCGCUUCCUCUUGGUAGCAUUGUCAUUGGAAAAAGUUGCUAAGUAAGCACCUUUUAUCUGCUCUUAUUUCAAUCUCUUCCUCUUGUACACACUAGGCAAUGAGCUCAUUAAGAGUUCAUUUCUUUUUUUGAGUGUUGUAACUUAUCUUAAAAGGACCUAAUUGUGCAGAAAGAGAGAUCAAGACUAGGUGCUUGAGAAUUUCAUCAAACAACUCUAACUUUAGCGCCCUUAAUCUUGUAACAAGAUUAGACAUUUCCAUGAUAUACUCCCUUAUGUUUUCUUUUCCUUUAUACCGCAUUGAAACAAGCUUAGACAAAAUGGAGCUCAUCUCAACCUUUCCAUUACCAACGAAUCAAUUUUCUAUGUGGCUCAAGAAACUCUUAGCAUUUCCUUCCUUAGGCAUUGCGUCUCUGAUGGUAUCUAGAAUGGAAUGUUUCAUGAUUGUCAAACUCAUGCGAUUAGAAUGCUCCUAUUUCUUAUAAAGUGCCCUUUGUUAUGUAUUAUUGUUAUCAGUAAGGGUGUGAGGUUUCUCUAAUCAAAUCGCAUAGUCUAGAUCCAUACACCCAAGCACAAUGGUAAUAUGCUCCUUUCAUUUCCUGAAGUUAGUGCCAUUAAGCAUUGGAAUAUUAUUUAAGUUGGCAAAUAUAGAAGUAGCAUUUACUAUAUCCAAAACAAAAUAAAAAUAAAAAAACUCAUAAGAAAUAAAUAUGGCAUAAUAUAAAACAAAUUGGGCCAAUAUAAGAUACCAAACACAACAUUGAAAUUUAGUUUUUAGAUAGAAAUAACAAUUUGUAAACGAUACUCUUAAAUGAAAGGUUUGUAAAUAUUAAUAACAAAUCCUGCCAAUAACAUGCCUUUCUUUGGACCAAUACGUUGCAUGCAUGGAAAACACCAAAAUUUAUCACAUAUUUACUACCAUAUAUGUCUAUAAUUUGGUUAAAAAAUAACUUUCAUUUGGGUUGAAUAUUCUCCACAUGGAUUUAAACACAAUCAUUGCAUUUCUUUAAUAAUAUACACAUAUUUCAAAAUAAAAAAAUCUACAUAAAGAGGUCACUUUGGUGGCAUUUAAUUCAGUUUAAUUUAUUUUGAAACACUAGAUAUUAAAAUACAUAAGAGAUGAAGAACAUUCAAAAGAAGAACUCCAUUUUUUUGUUAAUGAUCAACAGUUAGACUGGACCAAAACCUAACCCAAUUCCUUAUGCAGCCCAUUGGAUCCUUAUAAAAGGCUCAAGCCCAACUUGUCCUUAUACCUAUCAAGUGGUCUUGUUUGUUAGGCCCAAAGUCUUUGGGCUUGAAGAAACUUUUAGGGCAAGUAAGAAAUUAAGUUCCCUAACAAAUGCAAUAUGGAAUUAAAAAAAAAAAAAAACAAAACCCUAAAAAAUUCUAAUGUGUGCAAAUGCAUAUCCAAAACAAAUAAUAGUUUGGACCCACGAAGAAACAAAACUUUCCAAAAUCUAACAAACGAAUAUAUAUAUAUAUAUAUAUAUAUAUAUAUAUAUAUAUAUAUAUAUAUAUAUAAUUCUAGAAAAACAAAAAAUUUCCAGAAUGCAAAAACAAACAUAUGUAAAUACAUUCAUAAACUCUUAAUUAGAUCCAAAACACAAACAUCUAUGUCUUAAUGAAUAUAAAAAACUAUGAAAAGAAUUGGAAAAUUUAUUUCUCAAUGAUUCAAUAUCAUGCAACUCUAAUACCACUUGUAGGGAUUAUCCAAACUACUUAUAGGAAUACCUAAACAUUAGAUCUCAUGUUAUAACCUAUUCAAGAUCUCAUAUUAAUAACCCAACUACAACAAGGUCAAGUUAUAACCCAUCAAGAUCAUGUGUUUCAACCCAAAAUCAAGAUCAUGUUAAAUCAUCAAGAAAAAUAAAUUGAAAGCAUAACCGGAUCAUUUGUGAUGUAGUAGAAUAGGGUUUUAAUCUUCUACGUCUAAGCAUUUCUUCUCCAAAAAGAAAAAACCCUAUUUCACUCAACGAUGGGCCGAAAAUCUAUUACUCAACCUAUAUAUAUUAUUUUAUUUUAUUUUAUUGUUGGCCCAUCAUAAAAAAUAAAAUAAAAUCAAGUGGUCUCUACACAUUAAAACCCACACUUAAUGAGAUGCCCAAACCCAAUCAAUAAAUAAAAACUUAUCUAAUUACUUUAAUGGGCUAAUAAAAAAACAACUAAUAAUUUACAAUUAAUCAACACAUGUGGGCCCACUUUAAUAAUUUCCUAGUAGUUCUUCCCUAGCGGGAUUUUCUAGGCUUCUAGCUCACUUUUAUGUCCCAAUGUCCUACAAAACAUGAGCUCUCUGCCCUCUCUCUAAAACCUUUUUUUAAACUUCCCACUCUGUGAAAACCUCAAUCCACAGGAAAAAUCAAAGAAUUAAUUGUUUAAAAAGGAUUAGAUAAUCUUUAUAUUUGUUAAUUUAACCUUUUCCAUGUUUUUGCUUGAAGACUAGCCCAUUUUUAACAAAAAUACCCUUGACUAUUUCAAGUAUUUAUAUGUAGAUUUUAAAAGAAAAAGUAAGUUUUACAAGAAAAGAAUAAAGGCAUUUUCAUCAAAAUGUGGUUAAAAAAAAUGGAGAGUUAGAUUUCUAAAAUUGGGCUUUCAAUGGCAAGGUUUUUUAACUUCUACAACAGCUUAAAAAAAAAAAAAAAAAAAACUUAAAAAUGGUAGUUGAAAAAUAUUUACAAAUUUACGACACUUUUUGCCACGUCAAAAGUGUCUCUUCAAGAGACAACUUUCAUAAUUUUCAAAUCUAUGAUAUAUGCUUAAAAAAAUUGAAUUUAAACUAAAGGUGUCUCUUCAAAAGACACCUUCUACAAUUCUAAAAAAUUAGAUUUAUACUAAAGGUGCCUCUUGAAAAAACACUUUCCAAAAAUUUCAUAAAAUCCAAUAUAUACUAAAUAUGUCUCUUGAAAAGACACAGUUUCAGAAGUCCACAAAAAUCGAAUUAUAUUAAACUUCCACAAUUCCAAAAAAUUUAAUUUAUACUAAAGGUGUCUCUUCAAGAGACACCUUCAACUAUUCCACAAAUUUGAAUUUAUUUUAUAAUGAAGCUAUCUCUUAAAGAAAUGUCUUCCACAAUUUUCAUAUUAGUCACACAAUGAAAAUUUGAAUUUAGACUAAAGGUGUCCCUUCAAGAGAAACCUCCCACAAUUUUGUAAAUUUGAUUUAUAUUGAAGGUGUCUCUUCAAGAGACACCCUUCCGCAUUUUUUUUUUAUCAAUCGUAAACAUUAAAAAAAAAAAUACAAUUUAUGCUAAAGGUGUCUCUUGAAGAGACACCUUCCACAAUUUUCAUAUCAACUACAUUGUGAAAUUUUUUUAAUUUUUACUAAAAAUGUUUCUUAAAGAGACACCUUUUAUAAUUUAAAAAAAUUGAAUUUAUACUUAAGGUGUCUUUUGAAAAGGCACCUUCCACAAUCUUCAUAUCAGCCACAAAGUGAAAAAAAAAAUUGAAUUUAUGCUAAAAAUGUCUCUUAAAGAGACAAUUUUAAUAUAAAUGCAAUUUUGUGGAACGGUAAAAGGUCUUGGAGAGACACCUUUCCAUAUUUUUCAUUGCAUUGUGAAAAAUUUUAAAUUUUUACUACAUGUGUCUCUUGAAAAGAGACCUUUCAUAAUUCAAAAAAAAAAAUUGAAUUUAAACUAAAGGUGUCUCUUCAAAAGACAACUUCUACAAUAAAAAAAAUAAAAAAAUAAAAGAUUUAUACUAAAGGUGUCUCUUGAAAAAACACUUUCCACAAUUCCAUAAAAUCCAAUAUAUACUAAAUUUGUCUCUUGAAAAGACACAUUUUUAGAAGUCCACAAAAAUCGAAUUAUAUUAAACUUCCACAACUCCAAAAUUUUUAAUUUAUACUAAAGAUGUCUCUUCAAAUUUUCCAUAAAUUUCAAGAAACACCUUCAACAAUUCCAUAAAUUUAAAUUUAUACUAAAUGUGUCUCUUGAAGAAACAUCUUCCAUAAUUCCGUAAAUUUGAUUUUAUAAUAAAGGUGUCUCUUGAAGAGACACAUUCCAUAAUUUUGUAAAUUUGAUUUUAUAGUAAAGUUGUCUCUUGAAAAGACACAUUUACACCUUUUUUUUUAUCAAUCGUAUACAUUUAAAAAAAAUUGAAUUUAUAAGAGACACCUUCCACAAUUUUCAUAUCAACCUCAUUGUGAAAAAUUUUGAAUUUUUACCAAAGGUGUUUCUUGAAGAGACACCUUUCAUAAUUAAAAAAAUUUGAAUUUAUGCUUAAGGUGUCUUUUGAAAAGGCACCUUCCACAAUCUUUAUAUCAGCCACAAAGUGAAAAAUUUUGAAUUUAUGUCAAAAGUGUCUCUUGAAGAGACAACUUUUACAUAAAUGCAAUUUUGUGGAAUGGUGGAAGGUGUCUCUCGAAGAGGCACCUUUCCACAUUUUUUAUAUCAGUCAUAAACAUUAAAAGAAAUCAAAUUUAUGCUAAACACUACAAGGAAAAAGGUAUAUGGUGACAUUUAUAACGAGUCACCAUAAACAUAAGGUGUCACUACAACAUAGCGUCACCUUCUCCACUGACACCAUAGAGGGUACCAAUUGGUGACGUAUUUGGAAGUGACACCAAAGUAGAUAAAUGGUGACCCACUCAGAAGUGACACCAUAUAUUUCUAGUGAUGAUAGGGUGUCACAUUAAAUACAUCAUCUUUGAGUUAUGAUGUCACAUUAAAUGCAUCACCUUUGAAUUAUGGUAUCACAUCAUUGUAAAUUAUUGUGGAAUAUAUGAUUGGUUUUAGUUGUUGAUUUUUGUAAUGCUUAUGAAUUAAUAAGAUUAACCUGUUUAUAUUUUGUCCAUAAAUAUAACAAUCAUAUUAUAUUUAACUCAUUUUUCUGUAAUGUUUCUGGAAUAACUCAUAAUACAUUGAUCAUCUAAUAAUAUUUGUAUAUCAAAUGUUCACAAAAGGAUAGUACAUCCAACAUAUCAAACCCAUCAAAACUAAAAAAGAAGAGUGAAUACAUACCAAAACAUGAUUUAGAAAUGUUAAAGAUCCCAAGAUUCAUGUAUACCUCCAUUUCAUAAGCAUAAAACCGGCUAACCAUAAAAUGACAUAGAAGUCCCAUCUAAAAAUCUAAAUUUCUCAGUUGCAAUUAAAGUAACGUUUAUGUCCUACAACGUAUGACAUAAGAGUUGCAUUUAAAAACCCAAAAUCUUGUUGCCUUCUUCUUUCUUUUUAUUCUCCAUUUCACCCUCCCAAGAGUCUAUACCUGCAUUUCAAAAUUUAAUAAGUUUUAGAGAUUUUUAUUGAAGAAAAUAAACAUGGAUCUAUGUUAUCAUAAAUGAACAAAUCUAAGAAUUAAUUUUUUUUUUUCAAAUAGAAACAUUAUUCAAAGAAUAAGCAAUACUAUACAAUACCUAUGGAAAAAUUCAUGUAGUAGCUAAGGGACUCACCAUGCAUGGUGAUCAUGAUGCAUCAACAUGAUUCAUGAUUAGUUGUAGCACAAAAGUAGCCCAUUCUUCUCUAAUUUCAUCGAAUUCUACUUGAGAAUAUGUUUUUUUUAUUACCAAACUGAAAUCAAAUAAGAAAAUAACAUUAAAAUGCAUAACAUUUGGAACCCUAAAACUAUGUACAAUUCAUUAAAUAAGUAAUACCUUUGAAGCAAUAAUUGUAGGAUAAAAAAUUAUCUCUUUAAUGAAUCUCAUAACAAAGUAGCCACAUUCGAACCCUCCUUCUUGUCUUGGACACUAUUCGAUCAAUUAUAAAAUAACAUUAGUACUCACAUAUAUAAAUGGUGUAAAUGCAUAAGCUAAUGUGUAAAGAAAAAUUUUUGGAUGUCACCUGCACUAGUUGCUAAGAUGGCUCCCUUUUAAAUGUUUUCUUUGCAGAUAUUCGAAGAGCCCUAUGUAAAUAAGUUCAAUGGGUACAUUUUUAAAAUAGGUAAAUGUUAUAUGUUUUAAUAUAUAUAAAUAAUAAAAAAAAUGUGUUUGAGGUGAAUGUAUUUUUUUUAUUUAAAAAUAAUACUAUGAAAAAUAAUAGGAAGAACUUACAUGUUUACGAUAUCCUUUAAGUCCUCACAUGGUUUAUGAUGCAUAGGGUCAAGAUAGUGGACUAUCAUUUUCCUUGGCUCAAGCACUACCUAAAUAUAAACCCUUUAAGUCCUCAUAUCUAUUUCUAUUAACAAAAUAUAAAAACUUUCCAAAACUCAACUACUUAAAUAUAAAAACAAAAUCAAAUAAAAUAUCUAGCUAAUUGGAUUUUAGAAACUAAAUAAACUAAAUAUAAAAACUAAAUAAAAUAUCUAUGCCCAUGAAUUAAUUGAAGAGGAUAGAAAGACACAAAGAGAACAUGGCUAUGGUUAGGAUUUCCAUCUUAUCAUUUCCUGUCAAUACCACACAUGCCCAUUUUAAGGUUGGACACUACUUUUGUUGCUGGACUUGGAAAGGGAACUUCAAAAUUGAAAACAUAAAUAAACCCUUAUGUAAAAAAAAAUAACAUUAAAAUAUAAUUGAGCAUUAAAAUAUUUACUCUCUUUCAUCACUUUCAUUUGAAUAUUAAUAAUCUCUUAUUGAGAUAGAUACUUACAAUUUAACAAAAUAGAAAUUCCUAGUAAUAAAAAAUAUAAAAUUUCUAUUUCUAUUAACAAAAUAUAAAAACUUUCCAAAACUCAACUACUUAAAUAUAAAAAUAAAAUCAAAUAAAAUAUCUAGCUAAUUGGAUUUUAGAAACUAAAUAAACUAUAAAUAAACUAAAUAUAAAAACUAAAUAAAAUAUCUAUGCCCAUGAAUUAAUUGAAGAUGAUAGAAAGACACAAAGAGAACAUGACUAUGGUUAUGAUUUCCAUCUUAUCAUCUCCCGUCAAUACCACACAUGCCCAUUUUAAGGUUGGACACUACUUUUGUUGCUGGACUUGGAAAGGGAACUUCAAAAUUGAAAACAUAAAUAAACCCUUAUGUAAAAAAAAAAAAUAACAUUAAAAUAUAAUUGAGCAUUAAAAUAUUUACUCUCUUUCAUCACUUUCAUUUGAAUAUUAAUAAUCUCUUAUUGAGAUAGAUACUUACAAUUUAACAAAAUAGAAAUUCCUAAUAAUAAAAAAUAUAAAAAUUUCUAUUUCUAUUAACAAAAUAUAGAAACUUUCCAAAACUCAAAUACUUAAAUAUAAAAACAAAAUCAAAUAAAAUAUCUAACUAAUUGGAUUUUAGAAACUAAAUAAACUAAAUAUAAAAACUAAAUAAAAUAUCUAUGCCCAUGAAUUAAUUGAAGAGGAUAGAAAGACAGAGAGAACAUGGCUAUGGUUAUGAUUUCCAUCUUAUCAUCUCCCGUCAAUACCACACAUGCCUUCCCGGAUUGGUCCUUUUGGGGUUGGAUACUCUCAACGAAAUUCUAUAUCUCAUUCCCACUUAGAUACAAACAGAAAAAUCAUUCUUUUUUUUUUUCCUCUCUCGUUUUUUAGAAAGGAUGAAGAUUAUGUGAUAGUAUAUCUUAAAAAAAAUUUGUACCGUCAUUCUCACACAAAUACAUAUUAAAAAUCAUUCAUUUUUUCCUGUUUUUCACUUUUUUUUAAGGACUUGAUCAUGUGUUUGGUUUAGAUUAAAAAAAUCAAUUAAUCUAUAGUUUUUUCUUCCAUGCUAGAAGAUUAAACCUAAAUUUUUCUUCCCUACAACUCAAGAAAACACAAUUCACAAAAACCAUAAUACAAAGAUGUUGAAACAAUUAAUAUAAUGGCAUUAAUAAAAGAAAAAAAAAAUGAUAGAUCCAAGAGAUUUUGGGUUACCUGGGAGUCCACAAAGUGAAGAAUGUCGGUUUUGAGCGUGUUGACUAUGGAUGGGUGAGAGAAAAGGUUGAAGAAUAUCAUGAUUUUAUAUAUAGGAUUUAUAUAUUGAGAUUUUUUGGAUUGUGGGUGAGAUAUGGAAACAAUGGGAUUUUUAUAUAGUAUCCAUCAUUAUUAAUUCUAAAAGUGGGCUCAUUAAGUUAUAAUACUUAAAAAAAAUUAUUUUAUAUGAUGUCACUUCCCAAAAAAUGACACUAUAAAUAUAAAAUUAAUAUCAUCUAACUACCUCAAUUGAAGAUUUUUAUAUGAUGUGUCACCUUUAUUAAUUAUAAACCCUAUGAUGUCAUUAUUUUAAAAGUGACACCGUAAAUAGUGAUACCAUAAACUAUUUUUGUAGUAGUGAAAGGUGUCUUGUCAAGAGACACCUUUCCACAUUUUUUAUAUUAGCCACACUGAAAUUUUUUUUAAUUUUUACUAAAGGUGUCUCUUGAAAAGACACCUUUCAUAAUUCAAAACAAUUGAAUUUAUACUAAAUGUAUCUUUUGAAAAGACACCUUCAACAAUCUUCAUAUUAUCCAUAAAGUAAAAAAUUUUGAAUUUAUGCUAAAGGUGUGUCUUCAAAAGACAUCUUAAAUAUAAAUGAAAUUUUGUGGGACACUAAUCCACCAUAUUUUGGUCAAACAUAUACAUUAAAGAAAUCAAAUUUAUACUAAAGGUGUCUCUUGAAGAGACACCUUUAAAAAAAAUAAAAUCUAUAUCUUAAUUAGAAUUAUCCUAUAAACAACCAUAUGAUUAAACUUUAUCACUUGUAUACAUCAUAAUCAAUAUUUUGCCAUUUCAAUAAAAUAUCGAUCAAAACGAUUAAACCAAAUACUAAUUAAGUCAACGCCUUUCCAAAAUAAUAGCAAUACUAUUUUGUCUAAAAUAAGUAGAAUACUAUAGAACUUAUGUUAAUACAAAAUUAGUAAAUCCAAAAUAUAACAAGUAUAAUAUACAUCAUGAGUAUUUGUUCAAAAUAAUGACGUGCAAAAUACUAACAAUAUCCAAAAUACAAGUUAUACGUAAUAACAUCCUCAAUGUGUACCGCAUGAAGGAGUUCUUCUCUUCCUUUGUGGAUAUCCAUGAUCUACAUGUUCCACGAUUGGCUCUAUGGUGCUAACAUGUACCCGCCCCCCCCCCCCUCUCUCCCCCCCUUAUGCUCAAUGACCAUAUCUUCUACCACGUCCUCGACCACGAUCAUCCUCUUAUCCUCGUUGAUCAACAUUUUUUGUAAGAACUAACUCCUCAUCAACCAAUGUAGUUUCCAAUGGUUGUAGUUAUGAUGCAACAAGUGGUACUAUAGAUGAAGUGGAUGGCACCUCCAUAAGUGUAAUGGGAGUCUCCUUUAUAAGUAGUAGGCUGAUGCAAUCGAUGGUGCAUCUCUAAAAAUAGAUGUAUGCCUAGUCCUCUUCUUAUGAGCCUUUCAUCCUCUAGUUCGUACAUCUCCCGAUCGAGGUUAGAGUUGUUUAGUAGCAAUAACACUAAAUGUAGUUUGAUCUUGCAAAUGUAGAGAAAUGGAUGAUAUCGACUACUAAUAAGGUGGUGGACUAAUGUCAAUCGAUGGUGCGUCUAUAACAAUUGGUGUAUGUCUAGUCUCCCUACUACGAGACCCUUGUCCUAUGAGUCGUACAACCUUGAUUGAGGCUAGAGCUAAAUGGAGUAUCUAAGCAAUCCAUCUCAUGUCUAGCCUCUAAUACAGUAGGAGUAAACAAUCUGCAAAUACUCACAUCAUCUGGAGGUGCAAUAUCAUAUAUCUGAUGCAUGCUGAUAGUUUAUAGGUCAAACAAGAGAUGAGUUAAAUUCUUAUAAAAGUAAAAUAAACUUUGAUAAAUAAAUAAAAACUAAGACAUGCAAAUUACCAAUAGCUUAUGGAAGAACCCAGUCCAAGUAGGAAACCAAAUAGUAAUGGAGUGGUAUCACACCAUGUAUGGAUUAUGAUAUGCCAAUGGACCUAUAGCCAUCUCGCCUCUAGUAAUGUGAUUGUGCUUAAAGCUCUAACGUCAAAUGUAGUCUCCAUAUCAAGCAGUUCAAUCAACAUGUCUACCUCUCAAAUCUCAUUUAUGUAAGAUGAACUCGUUAUCACAUGGCUAAGGAAUCCUUUAAUGAAAUUCAAACUAUUGUAAUACUUGAUCAAGUUUUUCAUUCAACUAUGGAAACAUAUCAAAGAUGAGAUUGUGCACCUUAUAUUUUUCCCAGUUGUACAAUAGUCAGGAAGUCCUACAUUCAUGUGAUCAACAUAAGGUUGUCAUAUGAUCUAUAUGCAAAAAAGAUUAGAUAUAAUCAAUGAUAUGAAAUUUGUUUGGAGAAACAAGUUUAAGAAAUGAAUCACACUUCUAUCACUUCAUUUGUCGUAAGUUGAUCAAGAUGGUGCCUAUGCUAAGCUAAAAUGUGCAUGCAUGUCAAAGUAGUACGAAAGUCAUCUCUCCAACUAAAAGAAAAAACAUAAAUAAAUGUUAGAAUUUAAUUUUAUGCAUAUAUCCUCAAAAUAGUAAAAUUUGUGGUAAUAUUACAAUAUGUAUUGAAUGGCCAAUAAAGGUGGAGUCAGUUGGUCAUCAUGUGGAGCUAUAUGUAAACGAUGAGGUGCAAUAAAUGGGGACCUAUCCCAUACCCAUGACUGGAGCAAAAUCAAUGGGUCAAAUAUAUCAUGUGUAUCAAUCUGAGAGGUUCGACACAACUAUCGAUAAAGCUAGGCUAAACAUGCAUUACCCCAACUAUGCCUACCCGCAACCUCAAAAUCCUCUAGAAAGGGUAAAAACAUAAGAUGCACUUUAUCGCUAAACAUUACUAAAAAUAAGAAACCUCCAAUGAGCUAUAAGAUAUAAGCCCUAGUGUAACGUCGAAUAGACUCCUCAUCAACAUCAGCAACCAAAAUAGGGAAGCUCUUACCCAACCAUGUAAAAUGAAGCCGCUACCCAUCUAUGUUUGUAUCUCCAAGAGUGAGUCCUAAUAAAGAAUAACAUACAUGUCUCCAAUCUAGCCGAGUGCUACCGAUAACUACUACUCCAUCUACUGGUAGUCCAAGAAGAAUGACAAUGUCCUAUAGUGUAAUCUUACACUUUCCCUGGGGUAAGUGGAAAGCAUGAGUCUUAAGUCAGCAUCUCUUGACAAAUGUAGUAAUAAGGUGCAAAUCGAAGGAAAUGAAUCCUAAGCAUGCAACACAAGAGAAGCUUGUUUGUUGCAGUAGUGGAAUAAUACGCUCAUCGAGUGCACUGAUGCAAUGGAAAAUCGCGUUGUGAUUUUGACAAUGAAGCUCCCUAGAGUCAACAUCUGUCCAUGCUAAAGAUGACUUAUGUGUGUCCUAUCCAUGUAGAAUUUUAGAAUCCAAUGGUCCUGACUCCAUCAUGCGAUAAUACUUACAUACAAUAAAUAACCAUUAAUUUUUUUUUAACAUUAGUAUGACUAAAAAUUUAAAGACAUUACAUGAAAAUAUCAUAUUAUGAAAAUGGAUAACCUUUCAUACUUUAAUUGUCAUGAGGAAAGGGGUUAGAAAAUUGCCCUUUAUCUCUUGUAGGAUAGUUGCAACAAUUAUGCCCCUCUAUUUUACAUAAGCCACAUUGAACACUAAUAUUUGGUUCCAUUUUGAUGAUCUAGGACACCCCUUAUCCCUCAUCAAAGUUGGUUCAUAGUGGAGAAUAGGAAAAUCAGGAUACGACUAAUAAGAUUCAUGUGGAAUUGAAUUAAAUUCAAGGGCAUAAUUGUUGGCAUCAACAUCCAUCCUGUAGUAUUUUUCAACAAAUUGCCAACUGUCAAACCUUAUAUGAGCACAAAUAGCUAGUACAUGUGAGCAUGGAAUGCCAAAUGAUUGUCGCUUAUUGCAACUAUAUGUACCUUCAUUCAGCUUAACAAUUUGUUUGUUAUGUCUCUUAUCCAUAUGAAACCCAUGGAGAGCAACAAUUAUUUCAAAAGUCUUAUUAAUUCAAUAGAAGAUAGUCACAGUACGUCUACUAGUCUUGGCUUCAUCUCUUCUAAAUUUAUCAACUACAUAUGCAGUAUACACAUCUCUACUUGUCAUUAUAGUAUGAUCUCUACUCUACGAGUCUCAAAGUAUGACACACAUCAAUAGAAAGUUAAUUGAACAAGUGUAGUGAUAAGAAACAUUCACACUUCCUUAAGCACCCCAUUUAUGCAUUAAACAAUAUUUGUGGUCAUCCACUCAUAUCGAUAUCCUAGAUCAUAUGCUUGAGUCCAUUUUUGAGCGUCUAACUUUGAAAAUCAAUCCAUAUUUUUUUCAUCUAAUCAAUUUAACUCCUCCAUGAAUCUCUCACACUUCCGUAGUUGAUGUUGAGAUCCAGCUUUAUACGCCAAGUCUUUUAAAACCUUAUUCUUAAAUUUGUCAUUAAAAUUGCUCACUACAUACCUAAGACAAUAUCAAUAUUGUGUAUAAGGGAUUCAUCCAACCGAUGAAUUUAUAGCAAAAACAUUUAUUUCUGUAUGGCACUCUAAAAUUAGGCAUAUCCAUUCUCCUUAAAUGACGUGACACCUUAAUGCAAUAAGAAACCAACAAUUGUAAACGUAAGAGGGAAUAUAUGGCCAUUUGCAUCAAUUGAAGUAGCAAUUAAAAGCUUCCUCAUGUAUUUUCCAUAUAAGAAUGUACCAUCAAUUUGUAUAAUUGGUCUGCAAUGCUUAAAGCCUUCAACACUUGACCUAAAUGUUUAAAAAACACGCAUAAAACGCAUGUUCUAAGAAAUCCCUCCUAAGGGUAUUGCCUUCCAAAUAAUCUUUAUUCUAGGAUUAGUUAGCUUAAGGAUGUUUGUCCACUUGGGAAAUGCUUGAUAAGAUUCAUCAUAAUCACCAAAUACUCUAAGUUUUUCUCUUAGCUUCCCAAAUUCUCCUAUAAUGGAUGUCAUAGCCAAAUUUAUCCUUCAUUAUCUAAUGCAAUGUAAUAAUAGAGGUGGUGUGAUCCCUUUGAACUACAUUUUAGAUCUCUCUUGCAAUCAAUGUAGAGUUCAGUUGAGAAUGGUCUUGUCAUAAUUUAGGAUAAACACAAGUGUGAGGACCUGCAUACUUGACUAUCUCAAACUUCCAUAGCUUUUACAAUGACAUGCACGAAGCCUCCAAUUACAUCAUUCAUUCCACUUCUUACAUCUCAUUGCCCACAACUAUGGUUCUGAUUCACAAACAACCAAAUGUUGAUUCUAACAUAUUGAAUAACAUUUUACUACAUGUUGUUAUUGGGAUUGAGCCCUUAAAAUGAAGACAUGAUGUAACAAAGUUAGACUUAACUAUCCCUUUAUUAUUUCUUAGGUGUAUUGACAUUGAUUUGAGCAUUCAACCUAUGUCUCUUACAUUGUAUAUGACUUGUGUGCAUUAGGAGUUACACAGAAGAUACAAGUCAUGGGUUCCUUGUAAGUAGAUAAGUUGUCCACAAUCGGUUCAUGGAUUUAGGCAAUCUAGUAGAGACUAUAGUCUUUCUAAUUAGAGGAAUGACUUGUCUUGGUCGUCAAGAUGGGUUUCCCAUAGUGAGUGCACUAGUGUAUGUGAUGCACACUAGAAAAGAACAAUGGUGAAUCAUGACGUAAUGCUAUCAAUUGACAUGAUUCACGAAACUACUAUACCGCAUGGACUCACAACUUUGAGAGGAUAUUGAACCUAUGCCAAAAUCAAUAAAGGCUUUUACCUAUGGGUGAGACCCUAAAGUGGUCAUAUAUCCCUAUGGAUUGGGUCACUGUUUAUGGAGGCUGGUAGCAACAAGAAUUCUCAAUAAAGGCACCAUGAUAUCUCAUGGGAUUGAGACAAUGUGUCCCUUUGUGUGAUCCAAAGGACAUGUGAUCAUGAAAUAUGUCACCACAAUAAUUCCUUUAGUGGAAUUUGACAUAUGCUCCUUGGAGUUAGAGUAUGUCAUUUGAUCACAUAAUAAGUGGAAUCUGUAAUUUAGGGAUUUUAGAGGUAAUCUUGAUAGGUGAUAGCAUUACCUUAUUAUAUUAUGGACACCAACUCAUGGGGAGUCUACAUGCAAUGGAUAGUAGGUCAUAGACCCAAGCACUUGGUGUCUCGUUGUAAUAUACAUAAGGUACUGGAGUGCAGUUGACUCUCUAUAAUGGGAUGUUGAGUCAAUUUCAUAAUUUGAUUUUGAGGGAACCAAUACUCAUAUGGGUCCCAAUGGUCCCUGCCCUAAGCUCAUAUUCCUCGAUGUCAUGGUUUAUGAGGGUUAAAUGGGUUUUUAAUUCACUUUGGUACAUAAGGGUGUUUUGGUAAUUAUGUAAGAUUGCAUAAGAAUAAGUGAGUGGUAUCUCUGGAUUGGGUUAAUUGAUUAAUUAGGGUUUUUUAUGGUUAAUUAAUCAAUUAACAACUUUUUUUAGACUAGAUUAAGUGACCCAAGCCCAGUAGGAAGCCUAUAAAUACUUUAGGGGUUAGGGUUUCAAUGUCUUGUCAUUUUCUCCCUACAGUCCAAAGAGAAAACCCUAGCCUCCACCCUUGAGAUCUCUACCAUCUUAGUACCUAGCCACAAGGAAGAUUCAUCAAGUAGAAGAUCAUGGUGUUUACAAGAUCCAUUACGACUUUGGAGUUAUUUAAAUCGAUUGGAAUCGAUCCGGGAACAUUCGGAUCAAAGGAAUGUGGCUUUAUUCUCUAGAUCUAUGAUUUUUUGGUAUCCAUAUUUUUUUUUAAUACCUAUUUAUCCGCUAUGAUAGAUUUAUAUGCCUAGGAUAAAUUUGCAUGCACCCUACACGAUCCAAGUCAUGAAAAUGAAUUAAUCCGAGGUUCCCAACAACUAGUAUUUUGGCCUUAGGAUGGGUUCUAGCAUGUUAAAUCUAUUCUAAGGUGUGCUAAAUAUGUUCUAGGUUGUUAACUCUAUUCUGCAGGGUUUUUUUUUUUUUUGGUUCAUCCCAUGACCCUAAAGGAUGAAUGAAUUUGAUUAAUUAUUCAUAUAUUGAAUCUGAUUGUUAUUGAUUUAAUUGAAUGAAUAAAUAUGAAUGGAUAUAAUUUAUACCUUUUGAUUCUCUAGAUUUGGUUGUACACCCCAUAAGGGGUAUAGGAUUUUUAUUUGGUUGUAAAAAAAAAAAUUAUUUUCAAUAGAUGGGUUUGUAUGCUCCAUUAUAGGAGCAUAGAAAUUUUUAUUAUUGUAAAAAUUUCAGUUUUUCAUAUCCAUUUAUGGUGACCCAAGAGAAAAAAAAAACAAAAAAGAAUCUUGAAGGUUCUUUUUGAUAUUUUGUGGUGGUUAAAGAAAAAAGACGCAUUCUUGGAAGUUAUUGGUUUGAGAUUUAUGGCAACACAAUGACAUCAACUUUGAGCCACCAUCAGGACUACCUCCCAAUAGUUUCUUCACAUAACCUACAUAUUAUUUUUAAGCUUAGUAAGUUAGGAAUUAAACACUUUAAACAGAUCACAAUUCGGAGUUGAAACGAGUUAGACAUGGCCGAUUGAAGCAAGGUUGCGCAAAGUGCGUGAACAUAGUGACAUCAACUUUGAGCCAAAAUUGGGACUACUUCCAAUUAUUUUCUAGGGGAAAAUCAAAUAUAGUUUUGAAGUUUAGGAGGUCAAGAAUCCAAUGCUUCAAACGGAUCACAAUCCAGAGUUGAAAUGAGAAAGAUAUGACCAAUCAAAGCAAUACUGCGCACAAAGCAUGUUGUUACAAGAUUGCAUAUGGAUCCAAUUCCUUUUGGUUGUUUGGGCUGAAUUUUGGACCUUUCCUUUUGGGCUCAUUUUGGUGGCAAUUGGGCUUUUAGGUUUUAGUUUUCAAUAAAUCUAUCUUUGGUUGUAGGGCUAUUUUUGGUAAUUUGGAUUUUAUCCAAAUUUUAAUUACCAAAUAUGAAAUAGGAUCCCUAAGGGCCAUGGGAAACAUUUUUAUUUAUUUAUUCCCUUCUUUUUAUUAUAUGCUCUUGAUUAAUUGCAUAUGUGGCCUUAAGAUAUUUUGGUAUUCUUAAUUAGAAAUAAAUUUUCAUGCAUUUUUCAAAAUUGAAAAACUUAUUUAAAUUGGAAUGUGCAUGGUUAGGAAAUUUUAUUUUCAAGAAAAGAUAAGUUGGAAAAUGAUUAAGAGUUUUCUUACCUUUUUAAAAUUAAUUCUUAAAGAUUUUAAUUUUAUUUAAAAUCUUUUCAAAUCUUUAAGAUCUCUAAGAAUAAAAUAUUUCCUUUAAGGAAAAGUUCUUAUUUUUCCAAAACUUUAUAAAAUAGUAUUUUUUUUUUUUCCUAUUUUGCAUAGGAUUCUGAUUUAAAGAAAACAAAUAAAUUUUUUAAAUUUAUGAUAGAUAAUGUAUAAUUAAGAAUGGCUACCAAAUUAAGCAUUAGAACCUAAAGAAAAGUUUUUUUACAUUCUUAGUAAAUUUUCAUGUAAAGAUAUUUUCCAAGAUUAUUUACUUAAAUGUGUUAUUGUUAAGAAGAUUGUUAUUUCUUUAGAACAAUCUAUUUAUUAAACUUUAAGAGGUUUUCAUGUUCUUUCUCAUUGAGAGAAGGAAAACUAUAUUUAUAGUUGGUUAUUUGGGCUCUCCGUCCCCCGAGAGAAGAAGGAAACCUUUCUAUUUAGAUAGUUCAAUGAUAAGGAAUAAGAGAGCAAUUCCUUUAGCAUAGGAGUCUCGAUUUAAAAGAUAAAUAAUAAAUUUGAAAAAUCUUGUGAUAGAGAAUUUAUGAUAAAAAGGGUUACCAAAAUAACUUUGGAAAGUUUUAUUAAUUUAAUGAAGAUAUAAAAUAUUUUGAAAAAUACUUUCUAUAAUAGAUUGUUUAAUUCUUUUUUGGAAAUGAACAUUUUUGGGAGUUUUUCAUAAAGAAUAUUUUAUCCAUUAAUAUUUUUUGUAGUAUUUAAUAGAAUAAAUUAUUAUAAAACUCCCAUGAAAAUAUUUAUUAAGUUGGAAAAGUGUAAGAAAUAAGGAAAGAAAACCUUAUAAGGAUUUUUAAAUAUGAGAAGUAAAAGUUCCUUUCUUAUAUAUGGUGCUCUCAAGAUUAUUCAAAAUCUCAUAAAUUGGUAAUUUCCUUAUCACACAAGAGUUUCCAAUUUGGAAAAUAAAUAUUUUGAAAAUUUUCAUUAGAAAUAAUUUAUCAUUAAAAGAUUAUUAUCAAAAUGCUUAGUAAUCUAAUGAAAAUAAAUUUUUUUGAAACAUUUCCUAGAUAAAAAAAAUUAUUAAUUGUAGUUUUAUAUAGAACGAGAAUUUUUAUGAAAAUAGAUUUUAAAUUUUUUAGAGUAGAUAUUUUAUCAAAAUUCUUUUUGAAAAUUACUCUCAUGGAAAUUUUAAAUUUUUCAUGUUGGUAUUCUCCUAUUACACUAGGUUUCCAAUUAGGAAAUAAAUAUUUUUGGAAAUUCUCAAAGUAUAUCUCUUACUUAUAUUAAAAGAUUAAGUGGGAGAGGGCCUUAGGCAAACCCACAACCUCCAUUGUCGAGCCCUUCUUGAUUUGGGUUCUUUACCACCCCCACGGUGGGUUAGCCCUAAAAAUCAAGAGAUAUGGACUCUCCACAUAGACGAGACUAGAUAUGUUAGUAGUAAGAGUGACUACUCUUUACUUGGUGAUGUUGAUAGUCCAAAAACAAUGGUUAUACACUUGACAUUGGAUAUGAAGUGGUAAAAUCGCCCCAUGCGAUCCCACUUGCAUAGUCAAUGGGCCAAAUAGGUAUGUUGAUCUUGCCUUUAUAUACCUUUAUGGUUAAGGCAGAGACAUCAAUCUAAAAGGGUUUUUAACUAGAAUAAGGUCAUUAUCUGCCCCAUGUAGGCUUGAUUCUUAUGAUACUAGGAUACCUUGCAAAAAAAAUAUAUAGUUUGAGAGCACUACAUUUUUGCUAAAUUAAUUACCAAUUGUCUUGAAUGCUCAAUUAUGUCAUAUGCUUGGUUAUAUUCUUUGUUGCAGAUAUCAUGUUAGCUAUUUAUAAUCACUCUCUUUCUCACUUUGGACCAAGCCCAACUAAUCAUUUGGACUUAAUUUGAUUCUAGAUAUAGUAACUAAUUGCAUAGAAGCUAGUUUUGGUAGAGCUAUCUAUUCCUUAUAAACUAACCUAUCAAAAAGAAAUAGUGGUAUAUCGAGGUAGAAUUAGACGGGUCAUAAGACUAAGUGUCUAAUACUUAGAUGUUUGGAUAAUGUGUUGCAAUAGCAACACAUGUCUAUUACUAGAGACUUUGAUAUUCUUUUUCUAGCUUGCAAUGGUUAUUUGGUGAUAAAUGUAGGUCAACUUUAACAAGCGACUUUUAACACUAUUAUGAACACCAGUAUUCAUAUGAUCUUAAAGAUGUUGCCAUUUUCCUUCAAGAUGGCUAAGGGGAUUCUCAAAUAUUAUAGGGUGUUCAUAUGGAAGUCAAAGGUUCUUUAGGUUCUUCUAUCAAUAAGAAAAACAACAACACUAAAUAAGGAAAGUUCAAGAGAAGGAAUAAGAGAGCAAGCUCAAGGGCAAGUGAUUCCUUUGUGACCUUUUAGGACACUAGAAAAGAAGUGUCCAGUUUACUUAAAGGAAAAAGGACAUUGUACAUCAUUUUCUCAUUGUUGAGUAUUUAGUGGUGGAUUUCACCAUUUAUGGUGGAUAGAUUCUGGGCCCAUUGUUUGUAAGUCUUUAUAGGAUAUUCAAAAAGGAGAAGGUUAAAUGAUGGGAUUAUACUUAUCUUAGCUUUAAAUGCAACAUUAGUUAUGCAAGUUAGUGGAAGGUGAUACUUCUUCUUCUAUAUGUAUUCCAUUAUCACUUUGCCAAGUGAUGAGAAUAGUCAAAUCUCAGGAUUAAACCUAGCAGUAAUUAAAUAUUUGAUAUAUAGACUUAAGUCAUAUUAAUCUAAAUAAGAUUCAAAGGCUAGUAAAGUCUAGACUCUUUAAUUCCAAAAGAUCUUCUAGUCUACGAAUCCUAUAUAAAAAGUAAAAUGACCAAGAGGACUAGAGCCAAGGAAUGUUUGGAGUUAGUGCAUACUAACAUGUAUGGAAAUUUUAGUGUCCAUGCAUGGCGAGGGUAUGGGUAUUUCAUCACCUUUAUUGAUUAUUACUCUAGAUUUGGAUAUGUACAUAGGAAAUUUAAUGCCUUGGAUACAUUCUUUGAAUUUAAGGCGGGAUUAGAUAACCUAUUAGGUAUACAUACCAAGUCACUUCAAUUAGAUCAAGGUGAUAUGUUUUGUAAGUUUGAUUCUUUCCAUUAGAGCACAUGAUUAUUUCCUAGUUAUGUGCAGCAAGGUCUCUAUUCCAAAUAGAGAGGUAGAAAGAAUAUGUCAAGCUUGGAUGGACAUAGUGAGAUCAUGGAUAGGUUUCUCAUCUUUUCCCAUAUUCUUUUGGGGAUAUGUCUUAUAAACUGUGUAACACCUUUUUUUCUUAAGAUGUAUAUCUGUUUAUAGGAUAUCUAAGAAGGUUUUUGGGUUAUUACCUUUAUAGUCAAGAUCAUCAGAAGAUAUUUGUUGACACAAAUGUCAAACUUUUUAUGAAGACUAUAUGAUAAGGAAUAAGGCAAAGAGUGAUAUAGACUGGAGAAUAUAUUAGAAGAUAGUCCCAUAUUGCAUAGGAUACUAUGGAUCCAGAAGGUUAAAGGCAUACCAUUCCUAUGAUUUCUAGUACACACAUGCCUUAUCGUAGUGGGAGGAUUAUAUCCCACAGAUUAUGAUGUAGUGAGCAAUGUUUGUGCUCACUUAAGGCAAUGAGCUAUGAAGAGGUAGUUAGAAUCUUUGUAUUCUAACAUAGUUUGGGUUCCUAUAGAAGCACCUAAAGAGAUAAAACCCAUAGGUGUAAGUUGGUCUACAAGAGGAACAUAGAAGUAGAUGGAAAGUUUGAGUUUUAUGUGGCUAAGAUUGUAGCCAAAGGUUAUAGUUUGAAACCUUGUUUCAACUAUGGAAAACCUUUCAACAUUGGUCAUACUCAAAUCCAUUGUAUUACUCUCAUCUAUUCCAGUAUGUCUCAUUUAUAAGAUAUAGCAACCAAAUAUUUUCAUAACAAAUGGUCUUGUAUGUACAAGAAGGCAUAGGAAAGCAUGGUGAUACUCUAAGAUCUUGUAAGUAGAUGACAAUCUACUCAUUGGAUAUGAUGUAGGGAUAUUUUCAUCAGUCAAGAUCUAAUAGUCUACUCAAUUCUAAAUGAAAAUCUAGAGGAAGACACAAUAUAUUCUUAGGGUUAAAGUCUUUUCAGACUACAAGAAUAGGAAAAUUAUGCCAUGUCACCUACAUUGAUGAGCAUUUGGUCAAGUACAUGAUGCAAAACUCUAAGAAGGGUUUGUUACUCUUUUGAUUUGGAGUUGUCUUUCUUAGAAUCAAUGUCAUUGGACAUCUAUGGAGAGAGAUUGCAUUAAGGUGGUAUCACAUGCCUCUACAAUGGAUAGCCUUAAGUAUGUGAUGUUAUGUGCUAGACCAGAUAUUUGCUCUGUUGUAAGAAUAAUGAGUGGAUAUUAGUCCAUUUCCUUAUUAGAGCUUUGGGCAAAUGUCAAACAUAUACUCUAGUGUGUUGUGGGUCUUGACGAUGAGUUGGUACUCUUUUGUACCAAAAAAUUGGAUUUUCAAUUUGAUGAGGCUUUUGCAGGUCUACCUCUAGGUAUGUGUACACUCUAAGUGGUUUUUUGUUGUUUCUAUAGCAACAAAGGAAGCCUUUUGGCUUAUAGGUAGUUCCUUUGACUAUAUCGUCUAAGAUAUUGUUAUGUGAUAACAGUAGAUUGAUGGCAUAGUCUAAAGAACUAAAGCACCACUAGAAGAGAAAACACAUAGAGAUCAAGUGAUACCUUGUUGUGAGAUAAUAUAAAGAGGUGAUAUGACUGUGGAGUAGAUUCUUUUUAUAGUACCUAGUCUGCUUUUAGGACAACUAGGAGUUUGUUGUGAUUGGGCCCUUAAAAGCAAGACAUGAUGUAACAAAGUUAGACUUAACUAUCCUCUUUCUAUCCCUUUGAUGUAUUGACAUUGAUUUGAGCAUUUAACUUGUAUCUCUAACAUUUGUACAUGACUUGUGCGCAUUAGGAGUUGCACAAAAAAAAAAAGUCAUGGGUUCCUUAUAAGUAGAUAAGUUAUCCAUAAUCGGUUUAUGGAUUUGGGUAAUCUAAUAGAGAUUGUAGUGCAUCACCUUUUAAUUUGAGGGAUGACUUGUCUUGGUCUUCGGCAUGGGUUUCCCAUAGUGAGUGCACUAGUGUAUACGAUGUACACUAGACAAGACCUAUGGUGAAUCAUGACACAAUGCUAUCAAUUGUCAUGAUUCACCAAACUGUUAUAUUGCAUGAACUCUCAACCAUGAGAGGAUAUUGAGUUUGUGGCAAAAUCAACAUGAGGCUUUAACCUAUAGGUGAGACCCUAAAAUAGUCAUAUAUCCCUAUGGAUUGGGCUACUGUUUAUAAAGGCAAGUGACAACAAGUAUUUUCAAUAGAGGCACCAUGAUAUCUCGUGGGAUUAAGACAUUGUGUUCCCUUGGGUGAUCCAAAGGACAUAUGAUCAUGAAAUUUGUUACCACAGUAAUUCCUUUAAUGGAAUUUGACAUAUGAUCCUUGGAGCUAGGGAUGUCAUUUGAUCACAUAAUAAGUGGGAUAUGUAACUCAAGGAUUUAAGAGGUAAUCUUGAUAGGUGAUAGCACUACCUUGUUAGAUUACGAAUACCAGUUCAUGGGUAGUCUGCAUGUAGUGAAUAGUAGGUUAUGGACUCGAGCACUUAGUGUCUCAUUGUAAUAUACAUAAGAUAGUGGAGUGCAGUUGACUCUCUGAAGUCGAAUAUUGAGUCAAUUUCAAAAUUUGAUUAUGAGGGAGCCAAUACUCCUAUGGGUCCCAGUGAUCCCCGCUUUAAGAUCAUAUUCCUUUAUGUCACGGUUUAUGAGGGUUGGAUGGGUUUUUAGUUCACUUUUGUGCAUAAGGGUUUUUUGAUAAUUAUGUAAGGUUGCAUAGAGAAAAGUGAGUGGUAUUUCUAGAUUAGGCUAAUUGAUUAUUUAGAGCCUUGUAUGGUUAAUUAAUCAAUUAGCAACCUUUUUUGGAUUAGAUUAAAUGACCCAAGCCCAUAGUGGGUUGAUAGAUUGAUUUUUCGUCUUUUAUUGUGUCAAAACAAAAUUUAUAACCUAAUUCAACUAUAUUAAAGUAACUCUUGCCCAAUCAAAAGGGGUUUUUAGAAAAAGUUAUGGUAGUAUAUCAGCUUUAAGUGUCAUCCAUUGGGAUAGAUUAUUUUCAGUAGUUAAGCUUGAAUGAGAGAAAAGGAAAUGAUUCUCAUCAAGUGAAAUUGGAUUGACAAUUCAUGAUAAAAAAAAAAAAUCAAUAUAACAAUGAUUUCAAAUUGAGAGGAACAAUAAAAUGUAAAACUAGAGAAAAUUAAUAAGGAAAAGAAAUUCUCAGGGUUGGAAUUUUCUAGAAAACAAUCUCUAUUUCAAAUCAAUUUUUCAUCAAUUUAAAUUAAAAAUCUUAACCAAUUUUUUAUUUAGCUUUAAGUCUAGAUCUAAUUUUUCUUCAAAUUAGGUUAUUUAAUCCAAGAGAUCAAUUCAAACUGUAUAUUCAAUUCAUCUUAAAUCAUCUUCCAAUGAUUCACAUAAUGCAAUUAUUCAAUCUCAUCAAAUUAUUCUAGCUUUAAGAAUUUAAUGAAUCUACCUAGUUUACAUUGUAGUGGUCAUUCAAGACAAUUUGAAGAGAAAAAUCCUCAAAAUUCAAUUAAUCAAUCAAUUGGAUCAAAUUACCUUUGCAAUUAAAGCUCAUUUCUCUAAUUCACCAUAGAUUUUGUUUAUAGAUCUUCUUUCCUCCGAGAAAAACAAGAUUUAGCCACUCAUACUUGGAGAUUUUGUCUCACAAGACAUGUUUGGCUAGUGAGAAAAUGAGGAAAAAUGAAAGAAAAUAGAAAAUUCUAUUAAGAAAGAAAAUCUAGAAAAUUCUACAAUCAAAAGUGUUAAAAGACUCUUUACAUGAGAAAUUCAAGUUUCUAUUUAUAAGUCAAGGUCAAGUGGACACCUGGCAUCAUCUAAGAGGUCUUCUGGAACCUUCUUCAUUCAACAAUCUGGAGUUUAGCAACAAAAUAACCAUUUCGCAUGAGCUUCAACUAUUUUGCAUGAAGAAAAUCAAUUUUGCAUGGUUGUGUGAAAUCAGUGAAGCAAUAGUAGCUUUCUAGAUCAUUUCGUAGCUUCAUGCGAAAUUUCGCACAACAGCCACUGCAACAAGUUCCUCUUUUUGGUUUGAUUCACAUAGCCAUGUGAAAUUGCAAUAUAAGGUUUUUCAACUCCUCUUUGUCAAUUCUUCAAUUUUCUUCUUUUGACUCCAAGUUAGCUACAUCUAAUCAACCCAAAUCUCGAUCCAAAUUAAUUGCAUUACUUCUUCCAUUAUGCAUUUAGAUCAUCAUCAAUAUUAUUUGCCUUCUUCAAAUCAAUUCAUCUCUUUCAUCACCAAUUUAUAAAAAUCAUACCUUGAAAUUAUUUCAAAACUUCAUAAAACUUGUUAGUAACUCUUGCGAGGGCAACAACUUGCUAAUUGGGUAUUUUAGGCAUAAUUACUACUCAAGAGAUGUGAAACUCAUGAGAAUUAUUAUAUAAAAUAUGUUCUUUUUUAGUAGUAAUCUGGGCUUAAGUGACUUAAGCUAAGUAAGAAGUCUAUAAAUACCCGUUUUGGGGUUAGGGUUUCCAUGUCUUGCUAUUUUCUCUCUAUAAUCCAAAGUGAGAACCCUAACCUCCACCCUUGAGAUCUUCACCAUCUUAGUACCUAGACACAAGAAAAAGUCAUCGGGUGGAAGAUCAUGGUGUUUACGAGAUCCAUUAUAACUUUGGAGUCAUCUAAAUCGAUUGGAAUCAAUCCGGGAGCACCCAGAUCAAAGGUAUGUGGUUUUAUUCGCUAGAUUUAUGAUUUUUGUGGUAUCCAUAUUGUUUUUGAAUGCUUGUUUAUCUAUCGCAAUAGUUUUAGAGGACCUAUGAUGGAUUUGCAUGCACCCUACACAAUCCAAGGCAUGGGAAUGGAGUUAUCCAAGGUUCCCAACAUUGUCAUUAUUAUCUACCAUGAGACAAAUUUAUAUAGAGUGGUAAAAGCCUAAAAACCUUAUACCUAAACCCAUAUUUCAUAUCCAUUUAUUUAUUAUGUAAUUUAAUGGAACAAAAUAUUAAAAGUUAGGAUGUAUAUCAACUCUAAGGUGUGGAACUCAAGUUGAUCUCAUUAGAUCAUGCAUUGUGAAUACCAUAAGACUACUAAAUUAUAUAUCCUUGUUUUGCCUAAAGGUUUAUACCUGAAGCUAGAUUGUGGAUCUCCAAUAUUGAUUUAUUGAAUUAAAAAAUAAUAAUUAUUCUAUAAUUCAAAAAUAUGUUUAUUUUAGGAUAUUUUUAUCCAUAGUUUAUUUUGAUUUAUUUAAAUUAGGUAUUUUUUAUCUUUAGCAAAUAAUUAAUCCUUUUAAUCUAAAAAUAAUUUAACACAUUAGAGUUAAUCCUAAAUGAUAACAACCCGGAGAACUACAAAGUUGUGGUAGCUCUAUCUUUGGUUUUUCUUGAUCAGAAUUAUCAUGUAUUUAAGCUUUAAUAUUUGAUUUACAAUAGAGAUUUGCACUCAUACACUCAACAUGGGAAACCCAUUGCGAUAACUGGGAUAAGUCAUCCCUUCAAUUAGAAGGAAGUGUACUAUAACAUCAAAUGGAUUGUCUAACUCCAUGAACUAAUUGUAAACAACUCAUCAACUUGCAAGUAAUUGAUGACUUAAAUCUUUUGUGUAACUCUUAAUACACCUAAGAUAUAUAUAUAUAUAUAUAUAUAUAUAUAUAUAUAUAUAUAUAUAUAUAUAUAUAGUAAUACAGGUUUAAACUAAUACUCAAAUAAAUUCUAAUGCAUAAACAAGAUAUUAAAGUGAAAUUGAAUUCACAAUAUAAAUAUUAAUGAAAUCAUACAUUAUUAUAUCAUGUCAUGCUUUUAAGUGUUCUAUCAUAACAAUUGGGUUGGUAAGUUUUGGAGUUGUGGUGCCUAACACAAGUUUCUAAGCUAAAAGAUGCUCUUCAUUACUUCAGAGUGAGACUUCUUUGGGCUUUUAGGGACCUCCUUCCCUUCCGUCAACGAUUGAUAAUCUUGAAGUGUUUUCAGCACCAUGCAAAACACUAUGAAGAGUAAAGGGUUGUCAACCCUUUUUGAGGUCAAGUCAGUCAUGGUUAAGAAAGGGGGUCAAUAUACAGAGCGGAAAUAUGAAUUUGUAUCACUUAUCUGAAUUUAAAGAGUAGUUUUCCUUUUUAUAGCUAUUUCGGUAAGGCCAUAGUAGUUAUGUUUUUCCAUUACAUAUGGUUAUGGGAUUUGAUUAGUGUGUAUUAUACUAGUAGUGGUUAUUAAUUGCUUUGAUUGUCAGUGACUGUUAUAUCCUUAAUCGAAGGAUCAUCUUUUAAAGUAAUUAGAGGGUGAUUGUCUACUGCUUUAUCUUGUGUGAGGCUUCUUGUUAAAUUAAUGAUGGUAGGAUACUCACAUUUAUCAUGUUAUGAUGAGGAGUGCUGACAAGGGGUGAUGUGCCGAGUCCAACUUCUUGGAAUGGUGUGCUACCCAAUGCUGUGCGUAGAUCAAUCCACAUGUCAAUGGAUCAUCGUGUCCUUAUAGUUAUAAAACAAAAAUUAUAAGAAAUGAUUUUAAGAAAUCUAGAGCCACUCCCAAACAGGUCUCUGCAAUAUGCAUGGAAGCCAUAUCCAAGGUUAAUGCUUGAGGAUCAUCUAACUUUAUAUGCUUCCCAUAAGUAUGGUUUUUUUAAUGCAAACAAAAAACAAGUUUCUUCCAUCUACAACUUCAAUAUAUCCGUACUUCGCAAUCAAUUCCUUAUAUAUUUUGUAGCUAAACAUUCCAUUCAUUUAUGGUUUUCCUCUUGGUUACUUCACAUUCAUUCGUGACCUUGCCAUCUCAAAAGGGAAUUUGAGGACCUUAAGCCACUGGGAAAGAAAAGACACCCAUAUAACAAAGGCCUUCAAUCUACACGAACAGGCACCCAGCAUAAAGCCAAAUUGGGUGAGUUCAUAUUACUUGAGGUUGAAGUCAACUUUAGGCAUAAGAUCAACCGGCAGAUUGACCAAAGAUUGCUCUAACACGUUCACCCAUGUAAAUAACAUAGCAAUAGUGUGUUUUGCUGGCUGCAACGGUUUGCUUUCUUCUAGUUUUUCCGUAGCACGUAUAAUACAGUGACGUAGCUAAUCAGUCCUGGUCAACUUGGAAGCAACAAUUAUUUGCUUUUCUACUUGUUGAUGAGUUGAGUAUAAAGACUGCAAUUAAUUUUUGAAAGAAACAUAUGUGGUGUUGAGUGCUUUUAAGAGGCUUAAAGUAUUUGAAAGAGAAUAUGACUUUAUAAAGCCAUCAGAUUUGAAAAUGAAGGAUACUUAAUGAAGAAAAAUACUACAAGAAUAUUGUAAAAAUGAUAAAAUUCCUUGCUACUUUAAGAACUAAGAGUUUCAUGUUGCUUAUAUAUGUACAAUUAAAUGGAGUAUUUGAAAGAAAAAAUAAAUUUAUUCUUGAUAUGAUUUGAUGCUUAAUUAACAAUAAGAAAAUUCAUAAAGAAAGCUAUGCAUGUAAAGUGGUUGAUUAUAGAGUUCACUUGUGAGAUCCUUAUUCUGAUAAAAGUGUAUGAGAUAAGAUGCUGUAACAAGCAUGGAAUGAAAGAAAAAUUAGGAUCUCACAUUUUAUAAGUGUUUGAAAGCAUAUACUCAUGUGCUAAAAGUGGUCAAAGUUGGAUGAAAAGAGCCACUGACAUAUUAUGCUCCAAAUUAAGGUUACAAGUUGUACAAUUUAAAGCCAUAAAAAAAUCAUUAUUAGUAAGGAUUCAAGUUUAACAUGGGAUUGCAAUAUCUAAAAGGCGAUUAUGAGUUUCCUCCUCCCCUUUUUGAAGAAGACCAAGUCAAUGAGAAGUUAUAAGAAUUCAAAUACUGAAGUUCUACUCUCAUUGCCAUUCAUUUAUAAAAGUACAUUAUCAUCAUUUUUGUUGGAAAGGUCAAGAGAAGGUACAAUUUGUUUCAAAAGCUUAACAACAGUUUAUGAGAAAAAAAAUGAAAAUAAUUGGACAUUUUUUGUCUAUAUGCUGGUUAUGAAGAGCCUAAAAUGAUCUAUACACUCUUCAAAGAAGGAAGUGAGGAUGGAGGAGUGAAGACAGAGACUGUACUUAUUUACUAACUCAAGUUCAAGGGGUAUGUCAAAAAUUAAACUUGAUUUUGGAUCUCAUGUCAUUAACUUUGUGGAUUUUUCUUAAGUUUAUCGAGUCUAAUUUAAAUUAAUUGUUGAUAGUGAAGUUAAAUCAUGGUUAACUUUAUGUUUAAGUGAUUAUAAAUGAGCAGUUGUAUAAAGUAAGAAUGUUGUUUAACUCUCAGUACAAGAGAGAGUGUAGAAGCAUGCAUAAUAUCAUUUUGAGAAAUACUUUCCCUUUUGACAAUUCAACGUAUCAUCUAACACGGCUCAAGUGUCUAGAACCCAAAAUGUAUAAACAAGAACAUGGAUAAGAAACUUGAUCAAGGUUUGGGUAAACAUAUGUAUACAUAUGUAUAUUGAUCAAUCAAACAUAUGCCCUUGACUGAUCAAAGAAAAGUAGCUAUGACCACACAGAACGAACACGUUAACAUCUCUUCAUCAGUUUUCAUUUUGAACUUAGCCAAAACACCCAAAAUCAUAUCUAUUUGUACGCUAUAUUAAUGAGUCUUCUAACUAAAUUAUCUAAUAACAUCAAAAAGAAUUGACCAGAACAUAUAUAUUAAUCAAGGAAAAGUGCUCCAUAGCGUCCCAAAUCUCUAUGUUAAAACCUUAUAUUUGUUUUAAAUUUUCUGAUCUAGUUUUAUAGUUCAGAAGUGAGCUGACUAGUUGCAAUAAAGUUGGAUAAUAUGAAAUGACAUAUAUAGGAGGAACUAUAGAUUAAAUCCCUCAAUUCACAAGUGUACAACUCAAAAAUCAUAAAUAUAUUCCAACUUACUGAAUGGAGGUUAAUAGUUGAUAUAAAAACAAAAUUGACACGAGUAAGAGGUUAAUGUUGUUUGAAGAAACCCCCUAUGUGCUUUAAUAAGGUGAGAUGAGGUUUUCAGUUUUCACACUCUCCUUCUCUUUUGCCUCUCUCCUUGGGCACAAGUGACAGCGAAUUUGGCAAACUAAUGCUUACCAUUUAAGGUAACCCCAAAGGACCAAAAUGCUUUCCAAGAAACAUGAAAACUUAGUCACAGGCCUCCUCUCCUAUCAGACACUUCACCAAAUAUAAAACGUCCUAACUUAUUCUCUGCUUACUUAUGAGUUUAGGGAGUAUUUAAGUCAGAUACUGAUAAACAAUCAAACAUUAGUUUAAAAAAACCAUGGCAAAAUGUAAUGAAUCAACCCAACAUAUAGUAAACCACUAUUAGGGUUAAGUCCACAGUUGCAUAUAAGAGGCCAACUAAAAUAAUAAGUCAAUACAUAUACAUUUAGAACGAUUACCUCAUUCUGCUUGUUUGUGUUGUUUGAUGGAAAACUCGGACUUUAGUACAUUUUCGUUCAAAAAGGUAGCUCUGCCAUCUCUUUGUUUCCCUUGUUUGAUGGGAAACUCACACAGGGAUGUUCAUCUAUAUUUUACACACAAAAACAAUCUCGGGCCAAAAUAAAGGUAGAUCCGUAUUCAAGGUUAAAUUUAUCAUCUAGUUUGAAUAUGUUCCAAAAGUUUCAACCUAGCCUCACGGGGUCCUUUACAUCAUUACAAUCUAGACCUGCCCUCUAUUUCUUCCAUAAAGGAACUCAACCCUCCAGCCACGCAAAUGUUGCAGAUUUAUGUGUUAUUAUAUGAUAAGAAAUUGCAGACGUUACCAACUUUUUGACACUUGAUCGAGCAAGAGAUUUUAUUUUUUCAUCAAAUGUACAUACAUAUAGACCUGUCUCCAAAUUCCAUCAUCUUUUGCAUAAAUUCCAAAUCACAUACAGUCAAGUACACUCUAGAGAAAAUUAUAAUAUAUAGAGGAGAUCUACAGAAAUUUAUAUUAUUACAAAAUAUAGGUUUGUAUACCCAGAUAUCACCGAUUUCCAUAUUCAUGCAAUCUACCAAUCAGUCUAUAUCCAAACGUAUAUACCAAUACAAUAUACAAUCGUCAACCUUAAUUAUAUGAACCCAAUCCCUAAGCUUUGUAACAAAGCAAGUUGUUCUCUCCAAGUUCAAAACUAUUUUAACCUUUUUCUUCUUUCUUCACAUCAAGCAUGCUUCUCCUCUCUUCCCUCGGAGGAGAUGAAACAAAGUGAACUUGGAAAGUCUAAUUCUGCAUUUCUGUCUGAGCGAAUGGCUUGAGUCACUAAUAUAUAGAUAUUGUUUACUAGGCUUACCUGCAAUGUUGGAAGAAAUUGUAGAGGUGAUUUGCAGUGGUCUUAAAAAGAGAGGGUGAAGUGGGUAUUCUGUAAAAUCAUCAGGCCACAAAAUCUGGUAGCAACUGAGCAGCAAACCUCUUUCUGUUUUGAAUGUUGAUGCUGUCGUAAGCAGCGUUGGAAUGAGAAGGUUGUGCAGCAUUGAUCCCACAGUAGUCCGGUUCACCGUUUCCCAUUUCAAGUCUCCUUCCCAACUGAACGUUUGGAUUGGAUAGGUAGCUUUGUUGGCUUCCUGACAGAGAGAGGUUUUCACAGUGGGGAAGACCAAGAGUGAGGGAAACACUAUUUCCAUGAAAUCUGGGUGCCAACUGCUCAGGGUUAAACCUUCCUAUGUCUCCAAUGGGGGAGUAUGCGCCAAAUCCACCACCAUUAUUUAUAGCUCCUGUUAUUAAUGGAUAUCCAUCCUUGGCUUGCCUUUCACUACCAAACUUCAUGCUAAUUUCCCUACUUGUCCCACCGGGUUUCAUUUCCAUGUCCAUUGAGAGAAUGCUACUGGGUGAACUCUGAAUGUCAUAGCUUCUUGGUUUUUUUGGACUUCUUUGAACCAUACCUUCAAUCUCAGAUGACCCUAUGAGAUUGAAGCCAGCUUGGACUUGAAGUGAGCCUCCCAUGGGGGAUGUCGACAUUGUGGAAUUUGAAAGCUCAGCAGGAGAAGCAUUCUGGGUGGUCGAUUUUUCUUGUUUGGAUUGGAAAUCGUUU